GAUGAACGCUAGCUACAGGCUUAACACAUGCGAGUCGCGGGGCAGCAUGGGGGUUGCUUGCAAUCCCCGAUGGCGACCGGCGCACGGGUGAGUAACGCGUAUCCAACCUGCCCUUCACCACGGGAUAACCCGGCGAAAGUCGGACUACUACCGUAUGUUGUCCAUUGACGGCAUCCGAUUUGGACGAAAGGUUUGGCGGUGAAGGAUGGGGAUGCGUCCGAUUAGCUGGACGGCGGGGUGACGGCCCACCGUGGCGCCGAUCGGUAGGGGUUCUGAGAGGAAGGUCCCCCACACUGGAACUGAGACACGGUCCAGACUCCUACGGGAGGCAGCAGUGAGGAAUAUUGGUCAAUGGGCGUAAGCCUGAACCAGCCAAGUAGCGUGCAGGAUGACGGCCCUAUGGGUUGUAAACUGCUUUUAUGCGGGGAUAAAGUGGCCCACGUGUGGGUUUUUGCAGGUACCGCAUGAAUAAGGACCGGCUAAUUCCGUG
rnacentral:rRNA from 1 species